AGGCUGGACACUUCACAUCCUUCACAACUGCUGCCAAGUAGUGACGAAGCUGCUCACUUGAUCAGCUUCAGGAGAUCAUUUUUCAGUGCACUGCCUUUCUGGGCCCGAAGCUCUCCAGCAACUAGAAAGACUGUCUUUGUCCGCUCAGCCCCACUGCUCCUUCUCGCCGCACUCCUGGGUAACAUCUGCUGGUGUGCUUCCCAUCUUCUUCACAAAUACCCCCAAAACACACUGACGCACCAGGCUGCUGAUGCUUGUUAAUCAAACCCAUCCUGGGUGCUUUUUCAUCUGACUGAAUUUUUUUUGGAAGAAGUUAUUUACUGAAAACUUACAUUAAUUUGAAAAUGAAACGUUCUCUUUCCUCCUGCCCUGAUAAUGAUUCUUCUUUGUCCUAUUGGAAGUUACUUUUUUUUCACUUUUUAUUUUAGUAUCUUUAAUCAUCUUUAGUUUAAGUAAAUUAAACUUGAAGAAUUUUUCCAAACAACGCUGAAACUACUGUCACAUACUCCUGAAAGGAGACUUCUUUUCUAUACUAACCCAGGUGCUUCUUACAAAUUUUACUUUAUAGAAUUUAAUGAAAGGAACUUCUAUAACCCAUAAUUAGAUUACUCCAAGAAAUGAAAUAAUAUUUAAGCUAUCACAACAGUUAAAUGUUGUUAGGAAGAAAGAUUAUUAUGCAAACCCCAAUGGCCAAACUCUCAUAGAUUUUCCUAAAAAGGUUUGUAUAUGUGAGUAUCUUUGUGUGUUUACACAUAAAAUUUCUGUUUGAAUGAUAGGCUAUAUGGAAUCAGCCCAUGUUAAAAAUAUCAGACUGUACUGGAUGAACUGGAAUGAGUUCUCACCUAGAAAUCAAAAUACAUUAGCUCUUAAAUAAUAGCAUUUAUGUAACUACAAUUACUUAUUGAAUGUCUAUUUUGUACUAAGUCCUAUGCAUAUAUACCUCAUUAAUCCUUCCCACACAUGUGUGAAACAAAUAUUAUUUUCCCAUUUUGCAGAUUAGGAAACUGAGGCACAAAGAAAAUAAAUGAUUAUAAUGAUUAUAAAUACCAGAACCAAGGCCAGUCAUCUGAAUUUACUUAAUUCCUUUGAUUUCCAAGUUGAUCAGCAAGAAAGAAAUGUGAUCCAGUGACCUCAUUUCUACUCCACCUUGUCGCUCCUGUACUUUGGAUUCUCUCAGAUUUCUUGGCUAAGUGCCUACAGGU